AGACCUAGAAAGAUAGCACUAGGUUAGAAUUCUGGCUCAGCCGUUUACUGGCUGUGAAAAAUAGGCUAAACCACUUUCCCUUCUGAAUUUACUUUUCCACAUGUGAAAGUCCUUUGUAUUUGCUCUUCAAGAUUCCUGCAAAGCAAUCAUCUCAAGUAUGUUAGUGAACGAUUUCUACUCAGCAGUGUGGUCUCUGCUCCACCCAACCAGGAAUAAGAAGGCCUCCAGGAAGAAAGAACACCUGUAGGAUAUUUGUCAUCGCUGACAGAAGACAAGAACAAUGAGAGAUCCUGGAGUCCAUCAUGUACAUUUCUAAACUACCUCCUUACUGCCCAUUUUCCCUAUAGAACUGCCUCAAGAUUCUGUAAUUCUUGAAGAUGGGUUUUUUAAGACAUUAGUCACCCAUCUUCCAAUUUGCUGGCUAAUCUAAUUUAAUUAAAACUUUCUUUCUCAAUUCCUAACUCUGUGU
rnacentral:lncRNA from 1 species